rnacentral:rRNA from 1 species
CAGUCGCCGCGGGAAUACGGAGGGGGCUAGCGUUGUUCGGAAUUACUGGGCGUAAGGCGUGCGUAGGCGGUUCGUUAAGUCUGUUGUGAAAGCCCCGGGCUCAACCUGGGAAUGGCAAUGGAUACUGGCGAGCUAGAGUGUGUCAGAGGAUGGUGGAAUUCCCGGUGUAGCGGUGAAAUGCGUAGAGAUCGGGAGGAACAUCAGUGGCGAAGGCGGCCAUCUGGGACAACACUGACGCUGAGGCACGAAAGCGUGGGGAGCAAACAGGAUUAGAUACCCCUGUAGUCCCUGUCUCUUAUAC